UACGUAGGGUGCGAGCGUUAAUCGGAAUUACUGGGCGUAAAGUGUGCGCAGGCGGCAGAGCAAGUCGAGUGUGAAAGCCCCGGGCUUAACUUGGGAAUUGCGCUCGAAACUACUUUGCUGGAGUGUGGCAGAGGAAGGUGGAAUUCCACGUGUAGCGGUGAAAUGCGUAGAGAUGUGGAGGAACACCAAUGGCGAAGGCGGCGCUCUGGACCGAGACUGACGCUGAGGCGCGAAAGCGUGGGGAGCAAACAGG
rnacentral:rRNA from 1 species